rnacentral:rRNA from 1 species
AGCAGCCGCGGUAAUUCCAGCUCCAAUAGCGUAUAUUAAAGUUGUUGCAGUUAAAAAGCUCGUAGUUGAAUUUCGGGAUCAAUGCGUCGGUCGUGCCUUCGGUACGUACUAGCGUCAUUGAUUCCUCCCUUCUGAAGAACCGUGAUGUCAUUAAUUUGGUGUUACGGGGAAUCAGGACUGUUACCUUGAAAAAAUUAGAGUGUUUAAAGCAGGCUAACGCUUGAAUACAUUAGCAUGGAAUAAUGAAAUAGGACGUUCGAACCUAUUUUGUUGGUUUCUAGGAUCGACGUAAUGAUUAAUAGGGAUAGUUGGGGGCAUUAGUAUUCAAUUGUCAGAGGUGAAAUUCUUGGAUUUAUUGAAGACUGACUACUGCGAAAGCAUUUGCCAAGGAUGUUUUCAUUAAUCAAGAACGAAAGUUAGGGGAUCGAAGACGAUCAGAUACCGUCGUAGUCUUAACCAUAAACUAUGCCGACUAGGGAUCGGAUGAUGUUAAUUUUAUAAUGACUCAUUCGGCGCCUUA